rnacentral:sRNA from 1 species
GCACCAGCAAAAUCUGGUGCCGGGAUUGGCGUCCCGGAGAGUUUACAGGCGACCUAUGACGCGCCAUGCGUCUUUUUU